rnacentral:lncRNA from 1 species
UCCAUGUCUCAUGUGGACAAAUUUGUCAAGGAACUACUGUCCAGUGAUGCAAUGAAAGAAUACAACAGGGCUCGUGUCUACCUGGAUGAAAACUACAAGUCCCAGGAGCACUUCACGAAAGAAGAUACCUGGCUGCUGGUUCCUGAGCUGGGACUGAGCAGCAGGAUUGGACAGGCAGUUCUGGUCCAUGGCUGACGAGUUUUAUGUAUCUCUUUGAGUCCUGCAAUGUAAUGAUAAGACAGAGCUUGUCUCAUAAAUGCUGCUGUACAGCGUGGGACAGCAAGCACUUGCAUGUGACCCAGAUUGUCUAAACCACAGACCCUUUGGGUUGGAGCAAGUCUCUUUAAUAAAUGUUGGCUGUCCUUCCAA